AUCAACUUUCGAUGGUAGGAUAGAGGCCUACCAUGGUGGUAACGGGUAACGGGGUGUUAGGGCACGACACCGGAGAGGGAGCCUGAGAAACGGCUACCACAUCCAAGGAUGGCAGCAGGCGCGCAAAUUACCCAAUCCCGACACGGGGAGGUAGUGACAAUAAAUAACAAUACGGGGUUCUUUAGGAUCUCGUAAUUGGAAUGAGUACAAUUUAAAUCUCUUAACGAGGAACAAUUGGAGGGCAAGUCUGGUGCCAGCAGCCGCGGUAAUUCCAGCUCCAAUAGCGUAUAUUAAAGUUGUUGCAGUUAAAAAGCUCGUAGUUGAAUUUCGGGAUCAAUUUAUUGGUCGUGCUAUUGUACGUACUGGUAUUAUUGAUUCCUACCUUCUGACGAACCAUGAUGUCAUUAAUUUGGUGUCUUGGGGAAUCAGGACUGUUACUUUGAAAAAAUUAGAGUGUUUAAAGCAGGCUCACGCUUGAAUACAUUAGCAUGGAAUAACGAAAUAGGACGUUUGAUUCUAUUUUGUUGGUUUCUAGGAUCGACGUAAUGAUUAAUAGGGAUAGUUGGGGGCAUUAGUAUUCAAUUGUCAGAGGUGAAAUUCUUGGAUUUAUUGAAGACUAACUACUGCGAAAGCAUUUGCCAAGGAUGUUUUCAUUAAUCAAGAACGAAAGUUAGGGGAUCGAAGACGAUCAGAUACCGUCGUAGUCUUAACCAUAAACUAUGCCGACUAGGGAUCGGAUGAUGUUAAUUU
rnacentral:rRNA from 1 species